GGCCUGUCCCCACUUCUGCCUGUGCCUGGGGCUGCCUUGGACUGUGGAGGGCUGGGUGGGUCAUGGGGUCCCAGCUCGGCCCAGGAGACACUCAGCACUCCACGGCAUCUCCACCUAGGCCGGUUUUCCAUGUAGGGCGCAGCUGCUUCCCAGGUGGGUCCUCUUCCCCAUGUCAGAGGAAAACUGGGGUUGCUGAGCCCUGCCAGGCUUGGGCAAUGUUACCCCACCCUUCCCUGCCACAGGCCGCUACUACGCCAUGAAGAUCCUCAAGAAGGAAGUCAUCGUGGCCAAGGUGGGGCCGGGGCGGUGGGGCAGGGUGGAGAUGAGGGUGCGGGGUGGCAGCUCACCCAGCCCUGCU
rnacentral:lncRNA from 10 species